rnacentral:rRNA from 1 species
AGGAUGAACGCUGGCGGUCUGCUUAACACAUGCAAGUCGAACGGAGUACCUCGGUACUUAGUGGCGGACGGGUGAGUAACGCGUGAGAAUCUGCCCUUAGGUCGGGGACAACCAUUGGAAACGAUGGCUAAUACCGGAUAAGCCGAGAGGUAAAAGAUUAAUUGCCUAGGGAAGAGCUCGCGUCUGAUUAGCUAGUUGGUGAGGUAAAGGCUCACCAAGGCAUCGAUCAGUAGCUGGUCUGAGAGGAUGAUCAGCCACACUGGGACUGAGACACGGCCCAGACUCCUACGGGAGGCAGCAGUGGGGAAUUUUCCGCAAUGGGCGAAAGCCUGACGGAGCAAGACCGCGUGAGGGAGGAAGGCUCUUGGGUUGUAAACCUCUUUCUUGGGAAGAACAAAAUGACGGUACCCAAGGAAUCAGCAUCGGCUAACUCCGUGCCAGCAGCCGC